rnacentral:rRNA from 1 species
GUGCCAGCAGCCGCGGUAAUACGUAGGGUGCGAGCGUUGUCCGGAAUUAUUGGGCGUAAAGGGCUCGUAGGCGGUUUGUCGCGUCGGGAGUGAAAAUCCAGGGCUUAACUCUGGACUGGCUUUCGAUACGGGCAGACUAGAGGUAUGCAGGGGAGAACGGAAUUCCUGGUGUAGCGGUGAAAUGCGCAGAUAUCAGGAGGAACACCGGUGGCGAAGGCGGUUCUCUGGGCAUUACCUGACGCUGAGGAGCGAAAGUGUGGGGAGCGAACAGGAUUAGAUACCCUGGUAGUCC